rnacentral:lncRNA from 1 species
CACCAGUCAGCCUUCCACCAGUAAUCCAUUCUCCAGCCGGCCAUCAAACAGCAAGCAAGAUGUUAGGUGGAUUAAGAGGGACAGUGAUGGAAACAUUAUUUACGGCAGGCCCAGAUCAUCCCGGAAACAAGCAGAGUCCUUCCUUCAAGAGCUUAAAAGCUCACUGGGUGAGGACAUACAUGAGGAUGAAACGGCACUUCAAGCCUCAACAGACUGGUCGACCCGAAAGAGCCUCAUAUCAGGGUGGUGGGAGAAAGAGAGACCCCGACUGGUCAACACCAUGGUGGCUCGACAACAUGCGGCAACUCGGAUCUGCCAACAUUGUGGAAAUGGUCCAGCCGUUAUCCGUUGUUGUGACUGCCGACCACACCCAUUCCUCUGUGGCCAGUGUGAUGUCAGGGUCCACCGAGGUCAAGUGUUCCACAACAGGGAUUCGAUGACACGUGCAUUUUUUCAUCCAUUGCCUCCCACAACUUGUGUUGUGGAGAGGGUUCUAACACAGUGUGAGCGUCUUGUACCUUUGGAUAUGCCAGAGACAAUAUGCGGUUGUCUACGAGUAUCGUCCAGUGUCAUCGCAGGACAGUCCAUAGUUGUGGUUACAAUGAAUGGGCGAUAUGAUCUCAGAUUGCCUCAGAUUAGAUGCAAAGCAUGUGAAGCCAGUUGGAGUCCUGGAGUGGAUGACCUGAUCCGUAAUGACUACUGGCCUGCCACUUCUCACUAUUCAACUGUGUACGCAACAGAUGUCCUUUUUUCUUUUGAAGAGCUGAAGAUGGCAGCACCAGGGAUGUCUAGCCAAGCAUUCCUUAGAAUGCUGGAUCAACGCACUGUUCGCUUUGGCCGUGUAAGUAUUUGUGGUAAUAAUUGCGUAACUCCAUAAAUAAUA